GCGCCCGGCAGGGGUGGAAGAGCCCAAAGCGACAAGCGCCGCCGCACGCAUAAUCCCUGGAGGGCGCCUCUGCAAAGCUGGCGCGCGCUCUACAAAGUUGGCCACUCGCUCUGCAAAGUUCAGCCUGCGCACCGGAGAGCGCGCACAGCAAAGUUUGCAGUUUUCCGGAACAGCCCAGCCACCGCGGGCUGUUCCGGGAAAAAAACAAAUCUGCCAAACUGGCCGCGCUCCAAGUGACCCAAAGAGCGCAGACUUCGCGGCGGCGCUCAAUGGUGGGGCGCUCAUGUGGUCACCUCCACUUCCCUGUCCCCAGUGUAGACCUCGACCUGGGCCUUCGCAUGAACUCGGAGACCGCUUUCCCAUAGCCAGAGGCUCUUCCCUAGCGAAACUGGGAUCCCAGCUGGAACUGCUCGCGUCCCCCCGGGGGACUCCGCGCCUGUUUCUGCAUGCGUAGCCCCCAAGGCUGAUCCGCUUCGGGCCAGCUGUGGCAUCCGCUGUGGUCUCCUAGACGUUGCUUUGCGGGGGCGCCCUCCUGGGCGCGUGGGCGUAGGACGCUCUCCCAGCUUUGAAGGAAGUACCCACCUGGCAGCCCAGCUAGCUGGUGGAGAUGCUGCUCCCGAAUCUUUCGGGAAAUGUUUGUUGUGCGCCCCCAUGUGUCAGGGACUGGGUGUGCGGCCGGGAGUCAGUCAAACACGGGAGAGACCGAGCACUUCCACGGAUUCUAGUUCACCCCCGGAUUCUAGUUCACCCCAACCCCACAGCACACACAUACAUACACACACACGCACGGAUUCCAGUUCACCCUGACCCCACAAAACACAUACACACACACUUACGCAUUCCAGUUCACCCUGACCCCACAAAACACACACACACGUACACACACACGUCUUUCUUCACCCUGGCUCAAGGAAGCAACUAAACUCAAUCACACUGAGGUGUAAAAUAUCUGAGAAGAAAUUGUAGUUUUAUUCAUAUCAGAGAUACAGUAUUUACUUUUAGGAACCACCAAAUCCUUGCAUGAAUGGAAUACAUGCUUAGUGGUCUGAAAUCAGGCAAGAACGCCAUCUUCUCUUUUUGUUUGUUUGCUUUCCUGUGGGCCUGAGACUUCAGUAUUUGUCUCUCAAAUCUCUCCAGGUGAGGACGCUUUCUUGGUUUGAAAAAAAAGACUGACCCCUGGCAAGUGUAAGGGAAUAAUUAUAAUUGAUUAACUUAUGGGAAAAUCCUGAAUCCCUGAAUAUUUUUAACCAGCAGUGACACAAUUUCUAAUGUGGCUGCCCUAGUCUUUUUUUUUUAAUACCCACGUUCCCGAAAUGUUGGAGGUAAACUAAGCCAUUCAGACACUAAGAUAAUUUGUUUUGUAAAGAAAUUCAAGGCUGGGCACGGUGGCUCACGCCUGUAAUCCCAGCACUUUGGGAGGCCAAGACGGGUGGAUCAUGAGGUCAGGAGAUUGACACCAUCCUGGCUAACAUGGUGAAACCCCGUCUCUACUAAAAAUACAAAAAAUUAGCCGGGCGUGGUGGUGGGCGGCUGUAGUCCCAGCUACUUGGGAGGCUGAGGCAAGAGAAUGGCGCGAACCCAGGAGGCGGAGCUUGCAGUGAGCCAAGAUUGUUCCACUGCACUCCAGCCUGGGGGACAGAGUGAGACUCCAUCUCAAAAAAAAAAAAAAAAA
ensembl:lncRNA